GUGCCAGCCGCCGCGGUAAUACGUAGGUGGCAAGCGUUGUCCGGAUUUAUUGGGCGUAAAGCGAGCGCAGGCGGUUUUUUAAGUCUGAUGUGAAAGCCUUCGGCUCAACCGAAGAAGUGCAUCGGAAACUGGGAAACUUGAGUGCAGAAGAGGACAGUGGAACUCCAUGUGUAGCGGUGAAAUGCGUAGAUAUAUGGAAGAACACCAGUGGCGAAGGCGGCUGUCUGGUCUGUAACUGACGCUGAGGCUCGAAAGUAUGGGUAGCAAACAGGAUUAGAUACCCUGGUAGUCCAUACCGUAAACGAUGAAUGCUAAGUGUUGGAGGGUUUCCGCCCUUCAGUGCUGCAGCUAACGCAUUAAGCAUUCCGCCUGGGGAGUACGGCCGCAAGGCUGAAACUCAAAGGAAUUGACGGGGGCCCGCACAAGCGGUGGAGCAUGUGGUUUAAUUCGAAGCUACGCGAAGAACCUUACCAGGUCUUGACAUACUAUGCAAAUCUAAGAGAUUAGACGUUCCCUUCGGGGACAUGGAUACAGGUGGUGCAUGGUUGUCGUCAGCUCGUGUCGUGAGAUGUUGGGUUAAGUCCCGCAACGAGCGCAACCCUUAUUAUCAGUUGCCAGCAUUAAGUUGGGCACUCUGGUGAGACUGCCGGUGACAAACCGGAGGAAGGUGGGGAUGACGUCAAAUCAUCAUGCCCCUUAUGACCUGGGCUACACACGUGCUACAAUGGAUGGUACAACGAGUUGCGAACUCGCGAGAGUAAGCUAAUCUCUUAAAGCCAUUCUCAGUUCGGAUUGUAGGCUGCAACUCGCCUACAUGAAGUCGGAAUCGCUAGUAAUCGCGGAUCAGCAUGCCGCGGUGAAUACGUUCCCGGGCCUUGCACACACCGCCCGU
rnacentral:rRNA from 1 species